AGCCCAAAACGGUAAACGAAAACUGCGACUUGCAGGCGUGCAUUUAGCCCAAUCUUUGUGCACAUUUGCUAAGGAGAUCGUUGGAGCUCUCGCGAUGACGCAUGCCGCUCUUCACUACAGCCGGAACGGAUUUAACCUCACUUGUGCGGCGACAGCGCAGCUGUCGCUAAAUGUUUGUUAAUCUCGCGAUGGUGAGUGCGCCUGGGCUGCAAUCCUUGCGGAUGUGCGGGCAACGUGCUAUAAACUAACAUUUAAUUGAAGUUACUCACAUUUUGACUGUUCCCUUUGGCCCCAAAUUGGUGCGCAUUACAUCCUGCAAGCCUUUGGCUGCGCUGAUGUUAAUUGCCAGCGCCUGUGCAGCACGGGCAAAUUCGGCUUUUGGGUUUAACAAGCUGAUGGAAGCCAUUUCUGUGUUUUACGUAUCAACAAAUUGAAAAUUGAGAGAAUUGAAUUCAGUAGCAACAAACACGCCGACUAUAUGCUGAUGAAGAAUCACAAAACAAUCGGGGGAGCUAUCGAGCUAAUCGCAGCUGCCUAUUCGAUAUGCAAUCGAAUACUUAUUAGAUUAUCAAUUAGCAAAUAUAUAAUCAAAUCACAAUUAAGGAUUAUAAAACAGAGACACGAAACAAAAUCCAUAAAUGUUUCUCAAUCGUAUAUAGUAUUAUGAAUCCUUUUGGACUUAAUAUAAUAAAUAUAUAUAUAUAUGCAAUAGUA